CCUACGGGAGGCAGCAGUGGGGAAUAUUGCACAAUGGGGGAAACCCUGAUGCAGCGACGCCGCGUGAGUGAAGAAGUAUUUCGGUAUGUAAAGCUCUAGCAGCAGGGAAGAAAAUGACGGUACCUGAGUAAGAAGCCCCGGCUAACGACGUGCCAGCAGCCGCGGUAAUACGGAGGGGGCAAGCGUUAUCCGGAUUUACUGGGUGUAAAGGGAGCGUAGACGGCAGCACAAGUCUGGAGUGAAAUGCCGGGGCUUAACCCCGGAACUGCUUUGGAAACUGUGCAGCUAGCGUGCAGGAGAGGUAAGUGGCAUUCCUCGUGUAGCGGUGACCUGCGUCGAUAUUAGGAG
rnacentral:rRNA from 1 species